CUACGUGCCAGCAGCCGCGGUAAUACGGAAGGUCCAGGCGUUAUCCGGAUUUAUUGGGUUUAAAGGGAGUGUAGGCGGUCUGUUAAGCGUGUUGUGAAAUUUAGGUGCUCAACAUUUAACUUGCAGCGCGAACUGGCGGACUUGAGUGCACGCAACGUAUGCGGAAUUCAUGGUGUAGCGGUGAAAUGCUUAGAUAUCAUGACGAACUCCGAUUGCGAAGGCAGCGUACGGGAGUGUUACUGACGCUUAAGCUCGAAGGUGCGGGUAUCGAACAGGAUUAGAUACCCUGGUAGUCCGCACGGUAAACGAUGGAUGCCCGCUGUUAGCGCCUGGCGUUAGCGGCUAAGCGAAAGCAUUAAGCAUCCCACCUGGGGAGUACGCCGGCAACGGUGAAACUCAAAGGAAUUGACGGGGGCCCGCACAAGCGGAGGAACAUGUGGUUUAAUUCGAUGAUACGCGAGGAACCUUACCCGGGCUUGAA
rnacentral:rRNA from 1 species